rnacentral:lncRNA from 1 species
AUGAAGGGACGGCUGGUGUUUCUGUUGCUGCCGUUGAUCUGGGCGGAGGGGGCCCCCUUGGAGGGUGAUUGUUUGCAGAACAUAAUUGGCCUUAAAGGAAAAGAUGCUCUCUUGGCGCCAGUAGUUAUUGGCACCCCGACGUAUAUUACCUGGAAAAAAGAAGAAAACAUAGUGCAUGAGUGGAAUGGGACCUCUGAUCAUUCAAAUGGCAACUUGAUUAUCAAAAAUGUGUCACACAGUGAUGAUGGACUUUACACAGCAGAAAUACAAAUGGGAACUAAAUUAGAAUACUGUCAUUUCUGUCUGAAAAUAUUAGAAUAUCUAGAACCACCUGUUUUAUACUGUUCGGACCACAGUGAUGACAUCCAGGUAAACUGUGCAUCACCUCCACAGAACUACUCCCACAAUCUACCUGUGUCAUACCAUUGGGAACACACAGGAGAGGUUAUUGAUCAUGGACUGCAGUCUAUUAAACUAUCGAAGAAUGAAGGCCUUCCUGAGAAAAUUACAUGCAUUAUUCACAUAUACAAUGUACAUGCCAGUAGCUCCAUUGCGUUAACUGAAUGUCUUUCAAUAGAAUCUGAUCAAGGGCGAAGUCGACCAGCACUGAUUGGGGUGUUUGGGGUUCUGGUGAUCGUAUUGCUUGUAUUUGGUCUGUGGAAGAAAGGCAAUGCUGAAGAUGUUCCACUGAAUGAAACACCUGAUGACUCCAAAUGUGUACUAGAGAAUUCAAAAGAUGACAGGAGGGAAGGAAAUUCUACAACUGCAAAAGCUUAA